UUCAUGGAGAGUUUGAUCCUGGCUCAGGACGAACGCUGGCGGCGUGCCUAAUACAUGCAAGUCGAGCGGACAGAUGGGAGCUUGCUCCCUGAUGUUAGCGGCGGACGGGUGAGUAACACGUGGGUAACCUGCCUGUAAGACUGGGAUAACUCCGGGAAACCGGGGCUAAUAC
rnacentral:rRNA from 1 species